CCCGGAGUGGCUAAUCGGGAGGGUCUGGAGAAUUCCCGGUGGGCCGCGCGAUGUUUGGGCCGCAUGGGCCGGUGCUCUCGUUUUUGUUUUUUAUCAUUUUAUUUUUAUUUUUUGGUGCCGGUGUUCAGUCAUGGCACUGAGGCCGCCGGGCUGAUCUCAUACGCUCCUCCCGGCUGUCUCUACCUGCAGGCUGCAGCUCGUUUUUUUUCUUUUUGCCCAAUAUGCGCCUGUGCGCACCACGUGACCUCGCAGUUGACGGAAAGAUGGAAAGUAGAAAGAGCAAGGGUGGCGCGGAGAAGGCAAGAAUUAAAAAGAGGAAAGCGCUGGAAACAGAUGCAGCUAAAUGUGCAAAAAUGAGCACCUUUUUUUCUCAAACAAGCUUGCGGUCUUUAACUUCAAAUGAAGAUAAAACGGCCCACAAGAUCCAGUAGGCCUAAUAAGCACCAGGCAGAAACCCACCAUUCCAGAGUGGACAUGUACAGGUAGGAUUACUUAUUGAGUCAGUGAACUGAAUAUUAUUAAAAUUUAUAUGAUGAAAACUAUCCUGGCUCUAUAUGAAAGUGUUCUAAAAUGCUAGAUGAUUCAGCAUUGAUCAGAAAGCGUGUAAAAAGGAAAAUGAAUGCUGAAUUGUGACAAUUUUCACACAAUGUAGUGUCAGAAGAAGAGCCAGGAGCCAGCAGUGAGGGUAUUGCUCCUGUUGGGAUAGAAGGUGAGCCAACUCAUGUGCAAACAAGCAAACAUUAGUUUCAUUAUAAUAAUUUUAAUGUCCAAAUAAUAGUAGUGACCUGUUGUAUUUUUAUUAGUAAAUGCACAAAGCCCACAACAGAUAGUUAUUAGAAUGAAAGUAAAAUGAAAUAAGCCUGCAUAUUUUGCCAUAGAAAAUAUUUUAAUUGGUUACAAAAAAUGUGUUUUCCAUAUCAAAUGUGCUAAAGCUUUACAGAUGAUUAUUUUAAUUGUGUGCAGGUGAGUCUAGGGAAACUGGAAAAAGUGUGAAAGGGAGUGCUGAGUCAUUUCAUUUUAAAGGUUUGAAAAUCUCAGAACAGCUGUUUGAACAGAAGGUAGAUUGUUAUAUUGUUAGAGAAUGUGUUGUAAAGAACAAUGUUGGAGAUGUGCACUGAUGUUCAAAUAAACCUACAUUGUAAAGCAA